rnacentral:misc_RNA from 1 species
CUUACAUUUUAAUCGCCAGGGAACUACGAGCAAAGCUUAAAACCCAAAGGACUUGACGGUACCCCAAAUCCAUCUAGAGGAGCCUGUCCUAUAAUCGAUAACCCCCGUUAAACCUCACCACUUAUUGCCUUUCAGCCUGUAUACCUCCGUCGUCAGCUUACCACGUGAGCGUCACCAAGUGAGCUUAAUGCCUGUGCGCCAACACGUCAGGUCAAGGUGCAGCUAAUAAAGUGGGAAGAGAUGGGCUACACUUUCUAAUCUAGAAAACACGAAAGGCUAUCUAUGAAACCUAGCCAGAAGGAGGAUUUAGUAGUAAAAAGAAAACAGAGCGUUCUUUUAAACCCGGCACUGGGGUGUGUACACACCGCCCGUCACCCUCUUCAAAGCCCAAUUCAAGUAUUUAACUAACUUUUAUUAUGUAGAAGAGGCAAGUCGUAACAUGGUAAGUAUACCGGAAGGUGUGCUUGGAAACGCAGUAUAGCUUAACUCAAAGCACCCCGCUUACACCGGGAAGACAUUUGUGAAACCCAAAUUACUUCGAGCCAAAAAUCUAGCCCUAUAUCAACUUAUGAAAUUCCUCGACCUCACAGCACCCAUUAAAACAUUUUUAUAUUUUAGUAAAGGGGAUUGAAAAUCUACUUAGGAGCUAUAAUUUAGUACCGCAAGGGAAAGAUGAAAUAAAAGUGAAACAAAUCUUAAGCAUAAAAAAGUAGAGAU